CAGUACAAUUUACGGGUAUUUCCCCGUUUUAGCUAUUAUUGUGAUCACUUAGCUAACCUAUCCGACACUCACAGCCAUAGAUAGACAUGGCAGCCACUUUGACAGCUCUCCACUCCUUACGGGUAUGCCGCCAGCAAAUCCCUCCCUGGUACCACACCUUACAACACCUCCAUUCACCAUAAGCAUUUUCUCAUCUACUGCAGCGGCUUCCACCACUCCACCACAGCCUCCGAAAUCAGCCAACACCUGACAGAAACCUGCGUCGCUGGGGCCCAAUGGACCUGCCCCUUCCAUGUACCCUCACCACCAGUUUCACUCCACCACGCACGCGGUCCUAAUCGUCAUCUCUGGCAAAGCAAACCUAUGAUUCGGCCAUGGAGAUAACCCAGAGCGCUUUGGCGCUGUAGUUUCAAAGGGAUUUCCUGGUUGUCCCUGCUGGGUUGGGCCGUGGACUGCUGCACGAUAAUGAGGCUGGGGUUAAGAUGGUUGGUGCAUAUCUAAUGGGGAAACUGUGGAAUAUGUGCUAUGGAGAUAAAGAGGAAUGAGAUAACUCGGCAGAGAUUGAGGAAGCGGAUUGGUUUGAGAGGGACCUGCUUAUGGGGAUUGUUGGCUGGUGAUUGAAGUGUGAGCCAAUUUCAUGGGCUUUUUGUGUGUAGAUGUCGCCAUAGGGGAAGUCCGUCUUUUCCUUCAUCUCACAUUUUCACUUUCUUUUUUUGGUAGAUGGUGUAACUUAAGAAACUUAUUCGAUGUAUAUCAACCUUGGGUUAUGAGAAGUGAGGGACAAAAACAAUGAAAUCCAUGCCUGGAAAAUCUACACAAAAGUAAAUACAUUCGGGGAAUCAAAGAAAUUAAAGUUUGCUGUUGCAUCUAAACCCUUAUCAUUUUUUGCGCAAAAAGGAAAAUGUGAUAUGGUGAAAACAUGAACCAAACGGAAAUUCGAAGAAGAUAAGAAAUGGAUUUGAAUGAAAUCAAAAAGGGAUAAAAUCCGAAAAACGAACGGGUGAGGAUGCAAUGGAUAUAAAGUUGGCAUGAGAAUAUGCAUUUAAAAUCCUGCA
rnacentral:sRNA from 1 species